ACUAUCACAUUUAGCCCACUGAUUGGUUGAUCGGAGAUCAUCGUCAUCACUACACAGACGUCAUGACUGACGUCAUGACAACAGAGACGUCAUGACUGACAUCACGACAACAGAGACGUCAUGACUGACAUCAUGACAACAGAGACGUCAUGACUGACGUCACAGUCCUCGCUCGAAAAGUUUACUUAUAGGACCCGCGCUGCGAUCAGGUUCAGAUCAUCUUGGUUAAUAUUGCUGGAAAGCUGGGUUGUUCGGUGCCGGUCGGGGUUCUCUAUGAGGCCUCUCCGGAUCAACAUUGAGCAAUCGAGGACUAUCAGCUGUUAACUGAAGAAGACGGAAGACUGAAGACUGAAGACUGAAGACUGAAGACGGAACACGGAAGACUGAAGACUGAAGAUGCAACGUGGUGGGUGGUGGGGGGUUAGUGAGUGACUGACUGACUGACUGAGUGACUGACUGAGUGACUGGGUGACUGACUGGGUGACUGAGUGACUGACUGAGUGAGUGA